rnacentral:tRNA from 1 species
AAAGACAUAGUUUAUCAUCUCAAAACAUUAAGUUGUCAACUUAAAAAAUUCAUCUUUA